AGUGAACGCUGGCGGCAGGCCUAACACAUGCAAGUCGAACGGCAGCACAGUAAGAGCUUGCUCUUACGGGUGGCGAGUGGCGGACGGGUGAGGAAUACAUCGGAAUCUACUUUUUCGUGGGGGAUAACGUAGGGAAACUUACGCUAAUACCGCAUACGACCUACGGGUGAAAGCAGGGGAUCUUCGGACCUUGCGCGAUUGAAUGAGCCGAUGUCGGAUUAGCUAGUUGGCGGGGUAAGGGCCCACCAAGGCGACGAUCCGUAGCUGGUCUGAGAGGAUGAUCAGCCACACUGGAACUGAGACACGGUCCAGACUCCUACGGGAGGCAGCAGUGGGGAAUAUUGGACAAUGGGCGCAAGCCUGAUCCAGCCAUACCGCGUGGGUGAAGAAGGCCUUCGGGUUGUAAAGCCCUUUUGUUGGGAAAGAAAAGCAGUAGGUUAAUACCCCGCUGUUCUGACGGUACCCAAAGAAUAAGCACCGGCUAACUUCGUG
rnacentral:rRNA from 1 species